rnacentral:lncRNA from 1 species
UUGUAAACUGGAAAGGGUAUUUCUUCACUAGGAUCAUCUUAAAUACUUAAGACAUCUCUUAAAUCUCUCUUUGAAAGCAAUAAAAGUCCUAGUUCUACAAAUUUGAACAAGACAUAAUAAUUGAUGACUUUUCUCUCAUUUGUAUUCCAGGUGUCUUGCCUCCACAGUUAGAAAAAACAAGCUGGAAUAAUUCCACCUGGUUCUUGGACUCUCUGAAGUUACUUCGUGUGAAUGAGUCUUGAGUUUGUUCACGGCAUCAGAAGUGGAAUCUGAAGAACCUCAAGGUCUCUGAGGCCAGUGAGGAACCAGGUCCUGGGGCCCUCAGAGCCCUGUGAGCUCACUGCCUUCUCAGUGACUUCAGAGUUUGAGUCUCUCUUGGAUCCAAGCUCUGCUAUCCUUGCAUUUUGAACUCCCUGACUUUUUUGUGCAUCCCUGUAUUUUGUUUGAUAAAGUGUCUUGUUAGGUCACCCUUCUAUCGGGAAGGGGAGAAACUCAUGAUUCCCUGGGUAUUAGGCAGGAGUAGAAAGAUCCCUAGAGAAUAACCUGAUUGGUCAGUGAAGAUUCAAAAGUGAGAAAGAAGUGG